rnacentral:rRNA from 1 species
AUUGAACGCUGGCGGAAUGCUUUACACAUGCAAGUCGAACGGCAGCACGGACUUCGGUCUGGUGGCGAGUGGCGAACGGGUGAGUAAUGUAUCGGAACGUGCCCAGUCGUGGGGGAUAACGUAGUGAAAAUUACGCUAAUACCGCAUACGAUCAAUGGAUGAAAGCGGGGGAUCGCAAGACCUCGCGCGAUUGGAGCGGCCGAUAUCAGAUUAGGUAGUGGGUGGGGUAAAGGCCCACCAAGCCAACGAUCUGAAGCUGGUCUGAGAGGACGACCAGCCACACUGGAACUGAGACACGGUCCAGACUCCUACGGGAGGCAGCAGUGGGGAAUUUUGGACAAUGGGCGAAAGCCUGAUCCAGCCAUUCCGCGUGCAGGAUGAAGGCCCUCGGGUUGUAAACUGCUUUUGUACAGAACGAAAAGGUUUCUACUAAUACUAGGAGCUCAUGACGGUACUGUAAGAAUAAGCACCGGCUAACUACGUGCCAGCCGCCGCAGUAA